rnacentral:lncRNA from 1 species
CAUGAUUAUGAUAUGAUUUGAAUGAUUCACGUUUAUAUUGAUGGUUUAGUUGGUAUUGUGAUAAGGUAUGAGUUUUGGAAGAUUUGAUAAGAUUAAGGGAUUUAUUUUAUUGUUAAAUAAAAUAAAGAUUUGAAAAUAAUAUAAAAUAUUUAGUUGAGGGCUGUUUUGAUAUUUUAGAUAGUUUUGGGGGAGAAAGUGAGAUAAGAUAAGUAAUUAAGAGGAGAUAUAAAAGGGUUAGACCUAGCUUUAGAAAAACAUUGUUGUACGUACGUUUUUGGAGAAAANNNNNN